rnacentral:rRNA from 1 species
GACGAACGCUGGCGGCGUGCUUAACACAUGCAAGUCGAACGAUGAAGCGGGUGCUUGCACUCGUGGAUUAGUGGCGAACGGGCGAGUAACACGUGAGUAACCUGUCCUUUUCUUUGGGAUAACGGCUGGAAACGGCUGCUAAUACUGGAUAUUCAGGCUGCAUCGCAUGGUGUGGUUUGGAAAGGUUUUUUCUGGGAUUGGGUGGGCUCGCGGCCUAUCAGCUUGUUGGUGGGGUGAUGGCUUACCAAGGCUUUGACGGGUAGCCGGCCUGAGAGGGUGGUCGGUCGCACUGGGACGGAGAUACGGCCCAGACUCCUACGGGAGGCAGCAGUGGGGAAUAUUGCACAAUGGACGAAAGUUUGAUGCAGCGACGCCGCGUGGAGGGUGUAGGCCUUCGGGUUGUGAACUCCUUUUUCUCGCGAAAAAGGCACAGUUUUGGCUGUGUUGAUGGUAGUGGGGGAAGAAGCGCCGGCUAACUACGUG